rnacentral:rRNA from 1 species
AAGACCUUGCACUUUUGGAGCGGCCGAUGUCUGAUUAGCUAGUUUGGUGGGGUAAUGGCCUACCAAAGCUUCGAUUCAGUAGCUGGUCUGAGAGGACGGCCAGCCACACUGGGACUGAGACACGGCCCAGACUCCUACGGGAGGCAGCAGUGGGGAAUUUUGGACAAUGGGCGCAAGCCUGAUCCAGCCAUGCCGCGUGAGUGAAGAAGGCCUUCGGGUUGUAAAGCUCUUUCAGCCGGGAAGAAAAGGUUGCGAUUAAUAAUCGCAAUUUAUGACGGUACCGGAAGAAGAAGCACCGGCUAACUACGUGCCGGCAGCCGCGGUAAUACGUAGGGUGCGAGCGUUAAUCGGAAUUACUGGGCGUAAAGGGUGCGCAGGCGGUUUUGUAAGUCAGAUGCGAAAUCCCCGGGCUUAACCUGGGAACU